ACACUGGUGUGUCAGAAUUGUUGUUGUUGUUUUUCCGACGUCGACGUCGCUGCGCUGCCAAAACCAAAAAUCCAAGAGAGCGAGCGGUGGUGCAGCGCGAUGUUUUUAAGCAAAACUUGGUAAACAAAUUCGUUGAUAAGAUAUAUUCGCUGGCCGACGUCAAUUCUCGUGCGAAAGUCUAUCUGCCUCUCCCCCCCUUUCUUAUCUCAUCCGAAAGUGUAUAUGUGUUCCAGCGCGGAUUAAAACUCGGCUCUGCUCCCCCGCUCUCCCGCGUACGUGCGUGUUCGUGUGUGUGUGUAAAAAGAAGUUUAUUGGCUUAACAUAUUUUACAAAGGGCCAAAGGGCGCAGCCUCUCUGACAAGUGAAGUUUUUGCAGACUGAACAGCAGGUGAAAAUUAAUUCCCAACAAAAUAAGAGAGCGAGUUACAAGAAGUGAAGAAGAAGCAGCUCAGCAGCAACUCCAUCGACGACGCGCGGGGCAAAAAGUGACGCAUAAGAAACGUUGCUAAUUACAAAAGGCACAUCAGAAUGGAGCUGGAGCCGCGGGUGGCCAUCCUGCAGGAUCUGCGUCUACAGACCUUCGAUUCCAUACGCUUCGCCUCGUACAGGACGGCCUCGAAGCUGCGCUACAUACAGAAGUCGACCAAUCUCCAUUUGGUGGACAUAUGGAACGUGAUCGAGGCGUUCCGCGAGAACGGACUGAACACCCUGGAGCCGCAGAGCGAGGUCAGCGUGGCCCGUCUGGAGACCCUUGUCUCGUCGCUCUAUCACAAUCUGAACAAACGCCUGCCCACCGCCCAGCAGGUGCCGGUGGACUCCAAGGCGGGUCUCUUGCUCAACUGGCUGCUGGCUGCCUAUACAAGUGAUAACUCGGGAAAGAUACGUGUGUUCUCCAUCAAGGUGGCCCUGGCCACCAUGUGCUCUGGCAAGCUGGUGGACAAGCUCAGAUAUAUCUUUUCACAGAUUUCGGAUGGAGCCGGACAGCUGGUGGCCUGGAAGCUGGGGGAGUUCCUGCGGGAGGUGCUGGCACUGCCGGCGGCCGUCUACGAGUCGCCCACAUUCCACUACAAGGAGGGGCUCGAGGAGGAGAUCUUUCCGGCGGAGAACAAGGUGACGGUGAACGAUUUUAUGGCAACACUUAUGUCCGAACCGGGCCCCUCGUGCCUCGUGUGGCUGCCACUGCUGCACAGGCUGGCCACCGUGGAGACGAUUGUGCACCCGACGAUCUGCUCUGUUUGCCACAAGGAAAACUUCACCGGAUUUCGUUACCGUUGUCAGCGGUGCCACGCCUACCAAUUGUGCCAGGAGUGCUUUUGGCACGGCAAGACAUCGCUGAAUCACCAAAACGAUCACGAGGUCAAGGAGUACUCGAGCUACAAGUCGCCCAGCAAACAGAUUGGUCACUCGCUGCGCAAGAGCUUCCGCUGUGUGCCCGAGAAGACGACGCAAGUGUUGCCACGGUUCCCGGACCAGCCCGAAAAGACCCUCAACCUGUCGCACAUCGUGCCGCCCUCGCCCUUGCCCUCGCACAACGGUUUCAACGAUCCCACGCUGGCCCUCGCCGGCGUCCACCACGGCCACCUCCCGCCCGGCAUCUUCGACCGCUCCAGCACCCUCGACUCGCGGGCCACCGGCCGCAGCAUAGACAGUGCCAACUGUACCGGCGGCGGUGGCGGAGGCGGCACCACCAUCUCCCGGCUAGCCGCCGCCUCGGCCAACGAUGAGGAGCAUCGCCUGAUUGCCCGCUAUGCGGCCCGUCUGGCCCAGGAGAACCGAGCCCCCUCGAAUAUGUCCGAGAGCGCCACGCCCAUCGGCACGGACAACUCGCGGGCCCAGCGCGAGCUGAUCGCCCAGCUGGAGUCGAAGAACAAGGAGAUUAUGCGGGAGAUAGCUCGCCUGCGUCGCCAGCAGGAGACCGAGCAGAUGGCCCCCGAGAAUCCGGCUCUGAUCAACGAGCUGCGUGCCCUGCGCCAGCGCAAGGGGGAACUGGAGGGCCACUUGGGUGCCUUGCAGGACUCGCGCCGCCAGCUAAUGGAGCAGCUGGAGGGACUGAUGCGGAUGCUGAAGAACCAACAGACUGCCUCGCCCCGGUCCACGCCAAAUUCGAGUCCCAGGUCGGGCAAGUCGCCACCCAUGCCGGGCGGCGGAGGAGCCGGCAUCCUGGGCACCUCGCCGAUGAGUGCCCUGCAUGCCCAGCAAAUGCAGCACCCCAUGGGGGGGCCCGGAGUGAGGGUCACCCAGCAGCAGAUGAUGCAGGCCCAGCAGCAGCAGCAGCAGCAACAACAGCAGCAGCAGGGACAUGGCCACGGACCCUUCAGCCAGAGCCAGCUGGAGCAGCUCAAUCUGAUCAGCAGCGACAUGCGCAGCGCCUUUGCGGCCAAUGGCAGUGCAACGCCACCGCCAAUGCGCAGCACCAGUCCCAGUCCAGCCGAUGCCGAGCUCAAUGAAGCCGCCGAUAACAUAACCUCGGCCAUAUCCCAUAUGGUCAGCGACCUGAAUGCAGGACGGGCAACGGGACAUGGACAAGGCGGAAGCUCCCUGCCCCAGGCUCGUUUCAUAAUGCCGUUGGAAUAUCGACACAUCGAGGGCGCCGAGUCCUCGGGCUCGAGUCAGUGCGAGUGCAACGAGUGCGAGUGCCAGGUGUAUGAGGAGAUCUUUCGCACCGACGGGGAGUACGAGUGCCAAGGGGCGCCACCUGACUCCGAUUCAGAUAUGGAUGAUACCCGCCUGUCGCCGGUUCAUUUCGAUUACACCUUCGGCCUCGGCGACGAGCAGUCGCAGGUGAACCGCAUUCUGGGCUAUCGCAACCAUCCCGAACUCUUCAUCGACGAUGACCAGGCGGGGUUCCCGGCCCUGCACGAGAUCGGUUACAAGAUAUAACCGUCGUUCAGAUUUCGACGAAUCUCAAUCAUAUAACCAAGAGUGGACCGAAAAGGCAAAUGCGAAUAGCCAAUGGCAGGAGCAGUUUGCACAAUGGAGUCUUAAUUCACAAAAUAACUAAUUCGUCUCAGUGGACCAGUGAGGGCAGAGCCGGAUGGGUAACAGCAGCAGCAGGAAUGCAAUGCAGACAUGCAGUCAUGGAGUACACUGGAGUGCAGGAAUACGAGGCAGCUGAUACGACGAUACGAAGAAGACGACUCUCGCUUAGCUUUUUACCCUAAUUCUUAUGUUGACUUAGAGCAAUUUAUUUAUUGAUUAUUUUAUGGAGUAGUCGUAGCCUACACUACCUUAAUCCCUACAAUUUAUACUUUUGCGGAGUGGUAUAAUACACACAUAUAUUUAUAUGAUUAUUUUAUGCAAACACACGGUAGACAGUAAAGAAGCAAUGAAUAAGACUCGCAGUUGCACUGCACUUUUAAGUCGCAAAUCUCUUGAAUCUCGUGGAAACUUUCGAUAGGAGAAUGGAUAGAUCGAGGGUUUUUUUAAUUUAGGUUUUUACGAUUUCGUAUUUGGCUUUUAGACUUUUAAGCGCCUCCGUAAGCGGAUAUUUAUUAACAAAGUGAAAAUCAAACACGUAAUGCAAAUACAAAUACGAUAUAGACAUUUAAAAAUGUACUUAAUACUAGAUACUUGAUAUUUGUUGAGAAAUCAAAAACAAAUCUAAGCGCCUGAUUCGUGGUAGGUCCAGAUCGGCAAUCCAAUAUAAUGAAUAUGAAAUAUACACUUUGAUAUACGGUAAAGCCAAUAACUAUUUAAAAGAAAAGAAAAUAAAUUCCAAUCCAAUGUUGAACACUAAA